rnacentral:rRNA from 1 species
GAUGAACGCUGGCGGCGUGCUUAACACAUGCAAGUCGAGCGAACGGACGAGAAGCUUGCUUCUCUGAUGUUAGCGGCGGACGGGUGAGUAACACGUGGAUAACCUACCUAUAAGACUGGGAUAACUUCGGGAAACCGGAGCUAAUACCGGAUGAUAUUUUGAACCGCAUGGUUCAAAAGUGAAAGACGGUCUUGCUGUCACUUAUAGAUGGAUCCGCGCUGGAUUAGCUAGUUGGUAAGGUAACGGCUUACCAAGGCAACGAUGCAUAGCCGACCUGAGAGGGUGAUCGGCCACACUGGAACUGAGACACGGUCCAGACUCCUACGGGAGGCAGCAGUAGGGAAUCUUCCGCAAUGGGCGAAAGCCUGACGGAGCAACGCCGCGUGAGUGAUGAAGGUCUUCGGAUCGUAAAACUCUGUUAUUAGGGAAGAACAUAUGUGUAAGUAACUGUACACAUCUUGACGGUACCUAAUCAGAAAGCCACGGCUAACUACGUG